rnacentral:rRNA from 1 species
AACGAACGCUGGCGGCAUGCCUAACACAUGCAAGUCGAACGAGACCUUCGGGUCUAGUGGCGCACGGGUGCGUAACGCGUGGGAACCUGCCCUUAGGUUCGGAAUAACUCCCCGAAAGGGGUGCUAAUACCGGAUAAUGUCUUCGGACCAAAGAUUUAUCGCCUUUGGAUGGGCCCGCGUUGGAUUAGCUAGUUGGUAGGGUAAAAGCCUACCAAGGCGACGAUCCAUAGCUGGUCUGAGAGGAUGAUCAGCCACACUGGGACUGGGACACGGCCCAGACUCCUACGGGAGGCAGCAGUGGGGAAUAUUGGACAAUGGGCGAAAGCCUGAUCCAGCAAUGCCGCGUGAGUGAUGAAGGCCUUAGGGUUGUAAAGCUCUUUUACCCGGGAUGAUAAUGACAUUACCGGGAGAAUAAGCUCCGGCUAACUCCGUG